CUCUUAUCCAUCUUAAAUCCACUCACACCCUAUGAGUCUCACCCCUUCAAGUGAAUCAACGAAUGUCUAUACAUCAUCAAUCUUCAUGGACUUCAUUUCAGAUUUAAUGACUCCAAGCCACUUCUCAAAGUUAGAUCCUUAUAUAGCAUCCAUAUGGGAGAUCAAUCUCCAUCUCGAACCUAGAAAUCGAAGUAUCUGCUCGACUGACACGGUACUGUACCGUAUCUACACAGAGAUGCCUUUUCAUUGGACUCUGGAUUUGAUCUAAUCAACUCCUGUUCUGUU
rnacentral:lncRNA from 1 species